rnacentral:lncRNA from 1 species
GAACCUAGAGUUGAUCAUUGCUGUGCAUUUCUUUCUGCAAUUCUAAGGUAAGGGUGAGGUUUACUUCAGUAUUGUAGCUAUUAAAGUCUGAUUUUGAGUUUGACAGGUUUUGGUGAGGAAUUGGGAUUUUGGGGUUUUAUGAUAGAAUGAGGAUUUUGAAGUUGUAAACAUGAUUUUGAUGUUAUAAUUAGUUUCUGGUUGCAUAGAACACUUAAUUAUGUAUCUGUAAACUGAUUUGGGGAGUGAUUGGAAGAAAAAUGGGAUUUUUGGGAAAAACCAGUUUUCUGCCCGUACAGAAGUUCAUCGCUCGCCUCGCGAGUAGCUGUGCUCGCCAUGGCGAGUGAGCAACUUCAUAGCUCACCUCGCGAGCAGUCCAACUCGCCAUGGCGAGUAACCCAUAAUAAAACUUGAUUUUUGAAAAGUUGUUAUAAGAUGUUUUGGGGAUGGUUUAAGGUACCUAGAUGAUAUUAAUGAUGAAUGGUGGAACUUUUAGGCUAAAAAGAUGAAUAGGGAACUUAGAAUUUGGAUUUGAGUGAGAAAAUGGCAUUUUUCCCGAGAGCACCUGAUUUUCACUCGCCUCGAGUUCGCCUUGAACUCGCCAUGGCGAGCAGAUGUGCUCGCGAGGCGAGUUGCACAGUUUCUGAGUGUUGACUUGCUUGCAUGAUUAGUAGUGGUUGGUGUUGUUGUAUUUGAGCAUGGUUGUAUAUAAUUAUACAUUAUUUUGGUUGAUUGGAUUGCUGGAUUGAUGAACACUGAUGAUGAUUUAAAUGUAUGUUAAUUAUUGAAUCAUACAUGUUGUUUAAGUGGAGUCACAUGGAGUUGCAUUGCAUGGUCAGUUGUAUGUAGAUAUACACAAGUAGGUCCAUUGCAUAUGCAUAAAACAGCGGUGAGGGCUUCGGUCCUGGAGUAAUAGUUGCUCAACAGCGGUGAGGGCUUCGGCCCUGAUGAAUGCUUUAACCAUUCAAAAGCGGUGAGGGCUUCGGUCCUGUUUGGUACCACAUGCAUAUUGCAUUUCAUUAAGAAGUCUAAGAUGGUGUCUUAGCAGUGGUCAUGUCAUUUGCAUGAGUCUUGGUUGUUGAUUUCAGUUAUUAUCUGAUGGAUGAUGUUGGUGUUGAAUAUGCAUUUAUAUAUAUAUAUUCAUUGUGAUCAUGGUGUAUUGUUGAUGUUGUUGUUGCUUGUGACUUAUACAUAUAUUUGUUUACAAGAUAAAGUGUUGUUGGUUAGGGUGUUAGAUUCAAUUGAUGAUUUUAAUAUCUAUAAUUAUUGUUGUGAAUCUCACCCCUUCUGCUUGAAAAUGUUGCCCUUCCUAUGGGUAACUUGCAGGUGAUCCUGAGUAGUAGGUGGUGGCUCAAAGUCGUGUCUAGGGCUCUGAUACGUGGGAUGGGAUUUAUCAUUUUUAUUAUUGUUGCUUUCCUUUCCAUGUAUCAAAUUUUGGAAUUUGUGGUGUGGAGCCCUUUUGUUGUCUUUGAACUAUGAUGUUGAAUUAUGUUAAGG